CGCGUAGGCGGUUCGUUAAGUUGCUGGUGAAAUCCCGGGGCUCAACUCCGGGGCUGCCGGCAAGACUGGCGGGCUAGAGCACGGUAGAGGCGGAUGGAAUUCCCGGUGUAGCGGUGGAAUGCGUAGAUAUCGGGAAGAAUACCGGUGGCGAAGGCGUUCCGCUGGGCCGUUGCUGACGCUGAGGCGCGACAGCGUGGGGAGCAAACAG
rnacentral:rRNA from 1 species